CCUGGCUCAGGAUGAACGCUAGCUACAGGCUUAACACAUGCAAGUCGAGGGGCAGCAUGGUCUUAGCUUGCUAAGGCUGAUGGCGACCGGCGCACGGGUGAGUAACACGUAUCCAACCUGCCGUCUACUCUUGGCCAGCCUUCUGAAAGGAAGAUUAAUCCAGGAUGGCAUCAUGAGUUCACAUGUCCGCAUGAUUAAAGGUAUUUUCCGGUAGACGAUGGGGAUGCGUUCCAUUAGAUAGUAGGCGGGGUAACGGCCCACCUAGUCAACGAUGGAUAGGGGUUCUGAGAGGAAGGUCCCCCACAUUGGAACUGAGACACGGUCCAAACUCCUACGGGAGGCAGCAGUGAGGAAUAUUGGUCAAUGGGCGAUGGCCUGAACCAGCCAAGUAGCGUGAAGGAUGACUGCCCUAUGGGUUGUAAACUUCUUUUAUAAAGGAAUAAAGUCGGGUAUGCAUACCCGUUUGCAUGUACUUUAUGAAUAAGGAUCGGCUAACUCCGUGCCAGCAGCCGCGGUAAUACGGAGGAUCCGAGCGUUAUCCGGAUUUAUUGGGUUUAAAGGGAGCGUAGAUGGAUGUUUAAGUCAGUUGUGAAAGUUUGCGGCUCAACCGUAAAAUUGCAGUUGAUACUGGAUGUCUUGAGUGCAGUUGAGGCAGGCGGAAUUCGUGGUGUAGCGGUGAAAUGCUUAGAUAUCACGAAGAACUCCGAUUGCGAAGGCAGCCUGCUAAGCUGCAACUGACAUUGAGGCUCGAAAGUGUGGGUAUCAAACAGGAUUAGAUACCCUGGUAGUCCACACGGUAAACGAUGAAUACUCGCUGUUUGCGAUAUACGGCAAGCGGCCAAGCGAAAGCGUUAAGUAUUCCACCUGGGGAGUACGCCGGCAACGGUGAAACUCAAAGGAAUUGACGGGGGCCCGCACAAGCGGAGGAACAUGUGGUUUAAUUCGAUGAUACGCGAGGAACA
rnacentral:rRNA from 1 species